rnacentral:rRNA from 1 species
AUUGAACGCUGGCGGCAUGCUUUACACAUGCAAGUCGAACGGUAACAGGGAGCUUGCUCCGCUGACGAGUGGCGAACGGGUGAGUAAUGCGUCGGAACGUGCCGAGUAGUGGGGGAUAACGCAUCGAAAGGUGUGCUAAUACCGCAUACGAACUGAGGUUGAAAGUGGGGGACCUUCGGGCCUCACGCUAUUCGAGCGGCCGACGUCUGAUUAGCUAGUUGGUGAGGUAAAGGCUCACCAAGGCGACGAUCAGUAGCGGGUCUGAGAGGAUGAUCCGCCACACUGGGACUGAGACACGGCCCAGACUCCUACGGGGGGCAGCAGUGGGGAAUUUUGGACAAUGGGCGCAAGCCUGAUCCAGCCAUGCCGCGUGUCUGAAGAAGGCCUUCGGGUUGUAAAGGACUUUUGUCCGGGAGCAAAUGCUGGUGGCUAACAUCCACCGGAGCUGAGAGUACCGGAAGAAUAAGCACCGGCUAACUACGUGCCAGCCGCCGCCGUAAUAC